AUUGAACGCUGGCGGCAGGCCUAACACAUGCAAGUCGAGCGGUAGCACAGGGAGCUUGCUCCUGGGUGACGAGCGGCGGACGGGUGAGUAAUGUCUGGGAAACUGCCUGAUGGAGGGGGAUAACUACUGGAAACGGUAGCUAAUACCGCAUAACGUCGCACGACCAAAGAGGGGGACCUUCGGGCCUCUUGCCAUCAGACGUGCCGAGAUGGGAUUAGCUAGUAGGGGGGGUAACGGCUCACCUAGGCGACGAUCCCAAGCUGGUCUGAGAAGAUGACCAGCCACACUGGAACUGAGACACGGUCCAGACUCCUACGGGAGGCAGCAGUGGGGAAUAUUGCACAAUGGGCGCAAGCCUGAUGCAGCCAUGCCGCGUGUAUGAAGGAGGCCUUCGGGUUGUAAAGUACUUUCAGCGGGGAGGAAGGUGUUGAGGUUAAUAACCUCAGCAAUUGACGUUACCCGCAGAAGAAGCACCGGCUAACUCCGUGCCAGCCGCCGCCGUAACAC
rnacentral:rRNA from 1 species